rnacentral:rRNA from 1 species
UACAGCAAGUCGAACGAACUCUGGUAUUGAUUGGUGCUUGCAUCAUGAUUUACAUUUGAGUGAGUGGCGAACUGGUGAGUAACACGUGGGAAACCUGCCCAGAAGCGGGGGAUAACACCUGGAAACAGAGCUAAUACCGCAUAACAACUUGGACCGCAGGUCCGAGUUGAAAGAUGGCUUCGGCUAUCACUUUUGGAUGGUCCCGCGGCGUAUUAGCUAGAUGGUGGGGUAACGGCUCACCAUGGCAAUGAUACGUAGCCGACCUGAGAGGGUAAUCGGCCACAUUGGGACUGAGACACGGCCCAAACUCCUACGGGAGGCAGCAGUAGGGAAUCUUCCACAAUGGACGAAAGUCUGAUGGAGCAACGCCGCGUGAGUGAAGAAGGGUUUCGGCUCGUAAAACUCUGUUGUUAAAGAAGAACAUAUCUGAGAGUAACUGUUCAGGUAUUGACGGUAUUUAACCAGAAAGCCACGGCUA